rnacentral:rRNA from 1 species
UACGUAGGGGGCAAGCGUUGUCCGGAAUCAUUGGGCGUAAAGCGCGCGUAGGCGGCCCGGUAAGUCCGCUGUAAAAGUCAAAGGCUCAACCUUUGAAUGCCGGUGGAUACUGUCGGGCUAGAGUCCGGAAGAGGCGAGUGGAAUUCCCGGUGUAGCGGUGAAAUGCGUAGAUAUCUGGAGGAAUACCGGUGGCGAAGGCGGCAUCCUGGACCGACAUUGACGCUGAAAACCGAAAGCUAGGGGAGCAACGGG